rnacentral:lncRNA from 1 species
UAUUUGAGCCGGAAACCCUCACGAGACAAAACUCGUCCACUAGGGCCAUCUAGGGGUUUAAAGCCUUAUUGCAUACGGUAAAUGCAAUCGCGAUUCCUGCGAAACUGAGUUAGUUUUUUUAUUUUGCUCGAGGACUAGCAAAAUGUAGGUUGGGGGAUGUGAUAAGUGCUAAAUAAUGCAUAAAUUAGUAUCUUAUUCAUAGCACUUAUCAUUAUUUUAAUUCACAUAUUUUGUAAAUUCAACUAAAAAA